GAAAUGCGAUAAGUAAUGUGAAUUGCAGAAUUCAGUGAAUCAUCGAAUCUUUGAACGCAUCUUGCGCUCCUUGGUAUUCCGAGGAGCAUGCCUGUUUGAGUGUCAUUAAAUUCUCAACCUUACUAGCUUUUGGCGAACUAAGGCUUGGAUGUGGGGGCUUGCUGGCUUCUGACGAGGUCGGCUCUCCUGAAAUACAUUAGCGGUGCCCUAGUGGAUCCGACUAUCAGUGUGAUAAUUAUCUACACUGUUAGGCGCCCACGCUUUGAUGGGUUGUGCUGCUUCUAACCGUCUGAUCCGCAGACAACACAAUGACAAUUUUGACCUCAAAUCAGGUAGGACUACCCGCUGAACUUAA
rnacentral:misc_RNA from 1 species